GUGAGUUUUUUUGUGGGGCAGGUGGGGUGGGGGGGUUGCUUGUUGUUUUGUUGCUAUUGUUUUUAGCGGCAAGGGAUAGAAGCUGGACUCAAAGGAUGUAAUAGAAGGUGUCAUCUGUCAACAACACCACCACCACAUGACAACAUGCAGCAAAGCUAGCAGCCACUUCCAAUUCCUGGUGUGAGUGGACCUUGCCCUUCUGAAGCAAAGAACAUUCUUGACUCAAUUGAUGAAGGUGCCUUUCAAUUAGACGCUGUAAGGCUCCAGAGCUGAGCGGUCUUGAAGACAGAAUUCAGAGAAGUGAGACUGUGAUUUCUGGACUCAUUAUCCUGACCAACUUCAGAAUACCCAGAAUCUAGCCAUCUAUCUUUUAAUGAUAUUCAGAUCAAUGUACCUCAGCGAAUCUGGGUUUUCUACCAUGAACAUUAAAAAACCCAACACUGCAAUCAUCUGAUAGAUGAGUAUCUCCACCAAUGCAUGCACCUUGUCUUGACUUCCUACAAACCACUCUUCACAAAGCUUGCCAGACAUCAUUGGUCACCUCUCCCAUUAGAGAUUGCCACAAAGACAGGCAUAAAAAGAUCACUGAACUUUUAUCUAUGGGCAGUACUGCAAAAUUGACUAUGAAGAUUUCUGCCAUCCUCAUAAGCAUCAGAGAUAAGCAAUAAUGGAGAUGGUACUUUAUCAGUCAUUUAACUUCCGUAGACAUGCUGAGCUGAAGAAGGAAGAGAAAGAUCAUUAUAUAUAAUUCUCCAGAAAUACAAAGCAACCUAUUCAGUGACAUAGUUUCAAUAAGACAGCUCAAAAUACACAGCUAAUUUAGGUCUGAACUGUUUAGACUGUGUAAUCUUCUUUUGUACACCCAAACCCUAUUAUAACUGGAUAUACAAACAAUAUUGAAAGACUCAAAUUUUCACGAAGUAAAUGCACAAAAGCUACUCUGCAUUAUACACAUGGCUUGGUUCAGAUUCUCCCCUCUCUCUUGUUAGUUCCUUUAAAGACAAUGAACGUUGGAAGAAUAAAGAGAAAUGGAAACAAAGUAAUAGAAUGGGC
rnacentral:lncRNA from 1 species